rnacentral:rRNA from 1 species
UGGGGAAUUUUGGACAAUGGGCGAAAGCCUGAUCCAGCAAUGCCGCGUGUGUGAAGAAGGCCUUCGGGUUGUAAAGCACUUUUGUCCGGAAAGAAAUCCUUGGCUCUAAUACAGUCGGGGGAUGACGGUACCGGAAGAAUAAGCACCGGCUAACUACGUGCCAGCAGCCGCGGUAAUACGUAGGGUGCAAGCGUUAAUCGGAAUUACUGGGCGUAAAGCGUGCGCAGGCGGUUUGCUAAGACCGAUGUGAAAUCCCCGGGCUCAACCUGGGAACUGCAUUGGUGACUGGCAGGCUAGAGUAUGGCAGAGGGGGGUAGAAUUCCACGUGUAGCAGUGAAAUGCGUAGAGAUGUGGAGGAAUACCGAUGGCGAAGGCAGCCCCCUGGGCCAAUACUGACGCUCAUGCACGAAAGCGUGGGGAGCAAACAGGAUUAGAUACCCUGGUAGUCCACGCCCUAAACGAUGUCAACUAGUUGUUGGGGAUUCAUUUCCUUAGUAACGUAGCUAACGUGUGAAGUUGACCGCCUGGGGAGUACGGUCGCAAGAUUAAAACUCAAAGGAAUUGACGGGGUCAUAGCUGUUUCCU